rnacentral:rRNA from 1 species
GACGAACCGAGCGAACGUUGUUCGGAAUCACUGGGCGUAAAGGGUGCGUAGGUGGUUAGGUAAGUCCGAUGUGAAAUCUCCAGGCUCAACCUGGAAAUGGCAUUGGAUACUAUCUAGCUUGAGGAGUGGAGGGGGGACUGGAAUUCUCGGUGUAGCAGUGAAAUGCGUAGAUAUCGAGAGGAACACCAGUGGCGAAGGCGAGUCCCUGGACACUUCCUGACACUGAGGCACGAAAGCUAGGGGAGCAAACAGG